UGAGGAAUAUUGGGCAAUGGAGGCAACUCUGACCCAGCCAUGCCGCGUGAGUGAAGAAGGUUUUCGAAUUGUAAAGCUCUUUCGGGUGAGACGAUGAUGACGGUAUCACCUAAAGAAGCCCCGGCAAACUUCGUGCCAGCAGCCGCGGUAAUACGAAGGGGGCGAGCGUUGUUCGGAAUUACUGGGCGUAAAGGGUGUGUAGGCGGUUAUGUAAGAUAGUGGUGAAAUCCCGGGGCUCAACCUCGGAAUUGCCAUUAUAACUACAUAGCUUGAGUUAUGGAGAGGAUAGUGGAAUACCCAGUGUAGAGGUGAAAUUCGUAGAUAUUGGGUAGAACACCGGUGGCGAAGGCGACUAUCUGGUCAUAUACUGACGCUCAAACACGAAAGCAUGGGGAUCAAA
rnacentral:rRNA from 1 species